AGCGUACACGGUGGAUGCCCUGGCAGUCAGAGGCGAUGAAGGACGUGCUAAUCUGCGAUAAGCGUCGGUAAGGUGAUAUGAACCGUUAUAACCGGCGAUUUCCGAAUGGGGAAACCCAGUGUGAUUCGUCACACUAUCAUUAACUGAAUCCAUAGGUUAAUGAGGCGAACCGGGGGAACUGAAACAUCUAAGUACCCCGAGGAAAAGAAAUCAACCGAGAUUCCCCCAGUAGCGGCGAGCGAACGGGGAGCAGCCCAGAGCCUGAAUCAGUGUGUGUGUUAGUGGAAGCGUCUGGAAAGGCGCGCGAUACAGGGUGACAGCCCCGUACACAAAAAUGCACAUACUGUGAGCUCGAUGAGUAGGGCGGGACACGUGGUAUCCUGUCUGAAUAUGGGGGGACCAUCCUCCAAGGCUAAAUACUCCUGACUGACCGAUAGUGAACCAGUACCGUGAGGGAAAGGCGAAAAGAACCCCGGCGAGGGGAGUGAAAAAGAACCUGAAACCGUGUACGUACAAGCAGUGGGAGCACGCUUAGGCGUGUGACUGCGUACCUUUUGUAUAAUGGGUCAGCGACUUAUAUUCUGUAGCAAGGUUAACCGAAUAGGGGAGCCGAAGGGAAACCGAGUCUUAACUGGGCGUUAAGUUGCAGGGUAUAGACCCGAAACCCGGUGAUCUAGCCAUGGGCAGGUUGAAGGUUGGGUAACACUAACUGGAGGACCGAACCGACUAAUGUUGAAAAAUUAGCGGAUGACUUGUGGCUGGGGGUGAAAGGCCAAUCAAACCGGGAGAUAGCUGGUUCUCCCCGAAAGCUAUUUAGGUAGCGCCUCGUGAAUUCAUCUCCGGGGGUAGAGCACUGUUUCGGCAAGGGGGUCAUCCCGACUUACCAACCCGAUGCAAACUGCGAAUACCGGAGAAUGUUAUCACGGGAGACACACGGCGGGUGCUAACGUCCGUCGUGAAGAGGGAAACAACCCAGACCGCCAGCUAAGGUCCCAAAGUCAUGGUUAAGUGGGAAACGAUGUGGGAAGGCCCAGACAGCCAGGAUGUUGGCUUAGAAGCAGCCAUCAUUUAAAGAAAGCGUAAUAGCUCACUGGUCGAGUCGGCCUGCGCGGAAGAUGUAACGGGGCUAAACCAUGCACCGAAGCUGCGGCAGCGACACUAUGUGUUGUUGGGUAGGGGAGCGUUCUGUAAGCCUGUGAAGGUGUGCUGUGAGGCAUGCUGGAGGUAUCAGAAGUGCGAAUGCUGACAUAAGUAACGAUAAAGCGGGUGAAAAGCCCGCUCGCCGGAAGACCAAGGGUUCCUGUCCAACGUUAAUCGGGGCAGGGUGAGUCGACCCCUAAGGCGAGGCCGAAAGGCGUAGUCGAUGGGAAACAGGUUAAUAUUCCUGUACUUGGUGUUACUGCGAAGGGGGGACGGAGAAGGCUAUGUUGGCCGGGCGACGGUUGUCCCGGUUUAAGCGUGUAGGCUGGUUUUCCAGGCAAAUCCGGAAAAUCAAGGCUGAGGCGUGAUGACGAGGCACUACGGUGCUGAAGCAACAAAUGCCCUGCUUCCAGGAAAAGCCUCUAAGCAUCAGGUAACAUCAAAUCGUACCCCAAACCGACACAGGUGGUCAGGUAGAGAAUACCAAGGCGCUUGAGAGAACUCGGGUGAAGGAACUAGGCAAAAUGGUGCCGUAACUUCGGGAGAAGGCACGCUGAUAUGUAGGUGAGGUCCCUCGCGGAUGGAGCUGAAAUCAGUCGAAGAUACCAGCUGGCUGCAACUGUUUAUUAAAAACACAGCACUGUGCAAACACGAAAGUGGACGUAUACGGUGUGACGCCUGCCCGGUGCCGGAAGGUUAAUUGAUGGGGUCAGCGCAAGCGAAGCUCUUGAUCGAAGCCCCGGUAAACGGCGGCCGUAACUAUAACGGUCCUAAGGUAGCGAAAUUCCUUGUCGGGUAAGUUCCGACCUGCACGAAUGGCGUAAUGAUGGCCAGGCUGUCUCCACCCGAGACUCAGUGAAAUUGAACUCGCUGUGAAGAUGCAGUGUACCCGCGGCAAGACGGAAAGACCCCGUGAACCUUUACUAUAGCUUGACACUGAACAUUGAGCCUUGAUGUGUAGGAUAGGUGGGAGGCUUGGAAGUGUGGACGCCAGUCUGCAUGGAGCCGACCUUGAAAUACCACCCUUUAAUGUUUGAUGUUCUAACGUUGACCCGUAAUCCGGGUUGCGGACAGUGUCUGGUGGGUAGUUUGACUGGGGCGGUCUCCUCCUAAAGAGUAACGGAGGAGCACGAAGGUUGGCUAAUCCUGGUCGGACAUCAGGAGGUUAGUGCAAUGGCAUAAGCCAGCUUGACUGCGAGCGUGACGGCGCGAGCAGGUGCGAAAGCAGGUCAUAGUGAUCCGGUGGUUCUGAAUGGAAGGGCCAUCGCUCAACGGAUAAAAGGUACUCCGGGGAUAACAGGCUGAUACCGCCCAAGAGUUCAUAUCGACGGCGGUGUUUGGCACCUCGAUGUCGGCUCAUCACAUCCUGGGGCUGAAGUAGGUCCCAAGGGUAUGGCUGUUCGCCAUUUAAAGUGGUACGCGAGCUGGGUUUAGAACGUCGUGAGACAGUUCGGUCCCUAUCUGCCGUGGGCGCUGGAGAACUGAGGGGGGCUGCUCCUAGUACGAGAGGACCGGAGUGGACGCAUCACUGGUGUUCGGGUUGUCAUGCCAAUGGCACUGCCCGGUAGCUAAAUGCGGAAGAGAUAAGUGCUGAAAGCAUCUAAGCACGAAACUUGCCCCGAGAUGAGUUCU
rnacentral:rRNA from 1 species